rnacentral:rRNA from 1 species
GACGAACGCUGGCGGCGUGCUUAACACAUGCAAGUCGAGCGAUGAAGCUCCUUCGGGAGUGGAUUAGCGGCGGACGGGUGAGUAACACGUGGGUAACCUGCCUCAUAGAGGGGAAUAGCCUUUCGACAGGAAGAUUAAUACCGCAUAAGAUUGUAGUACCGCAUGGUAUAGCAAUUAAAGGAGUAAUCCGCUAUGAGAUGGACCCGCGUCGCAUUAGCUAGUUGGUGAGGUAACGGCUCACCAAGGCGACGAUGCGUAGCCGACCUGAGAGGGUGAUCGGCCACAUUGGGACUGAGACACGGCCCAGACUCCUACGGGAGGCAGCAGUGGGGAAUAUUGCACAAUGGGGGAAACCCUGAUGCAGCAACGCCGCGUGAGUGAUGACGGUCUUCGGAUUGUAAAGCUCUGUCUUCAGGGACGAUAAUGACGGUACCUGAGGAGGAAGCCACGGCUAACUACGUGCCAGCCGCCGCGGUAAAAC